UACGUAGGGUGCAAGCGUUUGUCCGGAAUUAUUGGGCGUAAAGAGCUCGUAGGUGGUUUGUCGCGUCUGCCGUGAAAGUCCGGGGCUCAACUCCCGGGAUCUGCGGUGGGUACGGGCAGACUAGAGUGAUGUAGGGGAGACUGGAAUUCCGUGGUGUAGCGGUGAAAUGCGCAGAUAUCAGGAGGAACACCGAUGGCGAAGGCAGGUCUCUGGGCAUUAACUGACGCUGAGGAGCGAAAGCAUGGGGAGCGAACAGG
rnacentral:rRNA from 1 species